CCGACGUGGUCAUCCAGCGAGGUCACUCUCCUGGCUCUGUCCUGGUGGCGUUAUGGGAGCGUAGCGCUCAGCUGAGACGUACAAUCCCGUUCCACAGCGUCGGAGACAAAGCUCUGACCCCGGCCUCCGGUCGGUGGGGACGGGCGUCCUGCAUAUUCCUACAUCUUCCCAGAGUCCUUUGGGCCGUGACUGGGGGGGCUAAACCAUGCAGUGCACAUUG
ensembl:snoRNA SNORA73 Small nucleolar RNA SNORA73 family